rnacentral:rRNA from 1 species
UGCCAGCCGCCGCGGUAAUACGGAGGGGGUUAGCGUUGUUCGGAAUUACUGGGCGUAAAGCGCACGUAGGCGGAUUGGAAAGUAGGGGGUGAAAUCCCAGGGCUCAACCCUGGAACUGCCUCCUAACUAUCAGUCUAGAGUUCGAGAGAGGUGAGUGGAAUUCCAAGUGUAGAGGUGAAAUUCGUAGAUAUUUGGAGGAACACCAGUGGCGAAGGCGGCUCACUGGCUCGAUACUGACGCUGAGGAGCGGAAGCGUGGGGAGCAAACAGGAUUAGAUA